UAGGGAAUAUUGGUAAUCUGCGAAAGCGGGAACCAGCAACGCCGCGUGUGCGAUGACGGCCUUCGGGUUGUAAAGCACUUUUUGAGGGGAUGAGGAAGGACAGUACCCUCAGAAUAAGCCUCGGCUAACUACGUGCCAGCAGCCGCGGUAACACGUAGGAGGCAAGCGUUAUUCGGAUUUACUGGGCGUAAAGCGCGUGCAGGCGGUUCGGUAAGUUGGAUGUGAAAGCUCCUGGCUUAACUGGGAGAGGUCGUUCAAUACUACCGAACUAGAGGAUGAGAGAGGGAGGUGGAAUUCCGAGUGUAGUGGUGGAAUGCGUAGAUAUUCGGAGGAACACCAGUGGCGAAAGCGGCCUCCUGGACCACUCCUGACACUCAGACGCGAAAGCUAGGGUAGCAAACG
rnacentral:rRNA from 1 species